rnacentral:rRNA from 1 species
CUAGUUGGCGGGGUAACGGCCCACCAAGGCUUUGAUCGGUAGCCGGCCUGAGAGGGCGCACGGCCACACUGGAACUGAAACACGGUCCAGACUCCUACGGGAGGCAGCAGUGGGGAAUUUUGCGCAAUGGGGGAAACCCUGACGCAGCAACGCCGCGUGGAGGAUGAAGUCCCUUGGGACGUAAACUCCUUUCGACCGGGACGAUAAUGACGGUACCGGUGGAAGAAGCCCCGGCUAACUUCGUGCCAGCAGCCGCGGUAAUACGAGGGGGGCAAGCGUUGUUCGGAAUUAUUGGGCGUAAAGGGCGCGUAGGCGGUGCGGUAAGUCACCUGUGAAAUCUCUGGGCUCAACUCAGAGCGUGCAGGCGAAACUGCCGUGCUUGAGGGUGGGAGAGGUGCGUGGAAUUCCCGGUGUAGCGGUGAAAUGCGUAGAUAUCUGCAGGAACACCCGUGGCGAAAGCGGCGAGCUGGAUCACUACUGACGCUGAGGAACGAAAGCUAGGGGAGCAAACAGGAUUAGAUACCCUGGUAGUCCUAGCCCUAAACGAUCAGGACUUGGGGUGCCACCCGUUCGGGUGUCGUCCCGGAGCUAACGCGUUAAGUCCUGCACCUGGGGAGUACGGUCGCAAGACUGAAACUCAAAGGAAUUGACG